AUGCGCCCGUUUAUCCAUGUCCACUUUCAUUUUGUAUCACUGUGGUGGACUUUUGGUGGAGGAACCAGACUGGAUGUUGGAAGUGAUGUCCGUCCCACCCUAACGGUGCUGCCCCCCUCGAGUGAGGAGCUGAACCAGGAGUUGAAGAAGGGCAAGGCCACGCUUAUAUGUCUGGCCAACAAGGGCUUCCCCUCAGACUGGAGUCUGGCCUGGAAGGUGGACGGAAGCAGCAGCAGCAGCUUGGAGCAGAGCAGGAGCCCUGCGGUGCUGCAGAAGGAUGGCCUCUACAGCUGGAGCAGCACCCUGAGGCUCACUGCAGACCAGUGGAGGAAGGUGGGCUCUGUGACCUGUGAGGCCACCCAGGGCUCCCAGACUCCACUCACAGAGACACUGAGGAGAGACCAGUGU